AACGCACGAGACCUGCGGACCUGCGGAAGGAUCAUUACCGAGUUAGGGUAGUCACUCACUGCCCGACCUCCCAACCCUGUGUCUACCACACUUUGUCGUUGCUUCGGCGGACCGGUUGACCAACUGGUCGUGACCGCCGGGGGCUGGCUCUGUCCCCCCUGGAGAGCGUCCGUCGAUGGCCCAACCACAAAACUCUUGUACCGAAACGUGUCGUCUGAAUUAUAUUUGAGAAAUCAGAAA
rnacentral:misc_RNA from 1 species